rnacentral:rRNA from 1 species
UAGGGAAUCUUCGGCAAUGGACGAAAGUCUGACCGAGCAACGCCGCGUGAGUGAAGAAGGUUUUCGGAUCGUAAAGCUCUGUUGUAAGUCAAGAACGUGUGUGAGAGUGGAAAGUUCACACAGUGACGGUAGCUUACCAGAAAGGGACGGCUAACUACGUGCCAGCAGCCGCGGUAAUACGUAGGUCCCGAGCGUUGUCCGGAUUUAUUGGGCGUAAAGGGAGCGCAGGCGGUCAGGAAAGUCUGGAGUA